GCGGCCAGUGCUUGGGGAAGGACAAACACCAGAGGAGGUGCCCGGUAUGUAAUGAGCAGCACCACUGGAAGCAGGACUAAUCUUUCACGCUAUUUACUGGGUAACAUUCCUUUCAUCGGUGGAAGAUCUCCUAAAGUGAACCAGAAAGUUUAAGAGAACUUUAGAACAAUUUAAGUUUAGACUGACAACAGCCAAGGACCAGAAGCAUGUAAGUAACCUACAACACUGCAGCAUGCUGUCUAAGUCUAUAACUGGAAGCCCACCUAGCUAUGACCACUAAGCAAUUCAUCCAAGCAGAAUGUCUAGGAGAAGAGGGUAGGAAGAGAAAACUCUCUUUGUGUACAGGAUGUGAUCAACCUUGGAGUUAAUAUCCAAAAAGACUUUCAUAAUACUGAGAAGUAAUGUCACAAACACUGGACUCAAAUGUCACUGAAGAACAAAGAAAGAAGACUGAAUA